rnacentral:rRNA from 1 species
CUACGGGACGCUCCAGUGAGGAAUAUUGCACAAUGGGGGGAACCCUGAUGCAGCAACGCCGCGUGGAGGAUGACGCAUUUCGGUGUGUAAACUCCUUUUAUAUGUCAAGAAAAUGACGGUAGCAUAUGAAUAAGCACCGGCUAACUCCGUGCCAGCAGCCGCGGUAAUACGUAGGGUGCAAGCGUUACUCGGAAUCACUGGGCGUAAAGGACGCGUAGGCGGGUUGGAAAGUCAGGUGUGAAAUCCUACAGCUUAACUGUAGAACUGCACUUGAAACUUCUAAUCUAGAGUAUGGGAGGGGGAGAUGGAAUUAGUGGUGUAGGGGUAAAAUCCGUAGAUAUCACUAGGAAUACCUAAAGCGAAGGCGAUCUCCUGGAACAUUACUGACGCUAAGGCGUGAAAGCGUGGGGAGCAAACAGGAUUAGAUACCCCUGUAGUC